UACGUAGGGUGCGAGCGUUGUCCGGAAUUAUUGGGCGUAAAGAGCUCGUAGGCGGCUCGUCACGUCGGCUGUGAAAACCCGGGGCUCAACCCCGGGCCUGCAGUCGAUACGGGCGAGCUAGAGUUCGGCAGGGGAGGACUGGAAAUUCCUGGUGUAGCGGUGAAAUGCGCAGAUAUCAGGAGGAACACCGGUGGCGAAGGCGGGUCUCUGGGCCGAUACUGACGCUGAGGAGCGAAAGCGUGGGGAGCGAACAGG
rnacentral:rRNA from 1 species